GUGCAGGCAGGAAGGAGAAGCCACCAGCACCGUUCCAGCCUUACAACUGUGACAGCCACCUGGUACCCCCGCCGCCUCCAGCUCCCCUAACCCGGGAAACGGAAGACUUCACAAACACUUGAGUCCCACCCGAUUCUAAUGAAACUCCACCUGCUCUGCCCCCUCCCCCACCAGUGCCCGUCCAUGGCAACUGGUCAGCACUGCAACAUUCCAACUGGUGCCCAGCCUGUGUGGGCAGGAGGCAGGGAGGCAGACAGCAAGGGGUUAGAGCUCAUAAUGUACAUCCAGUAUUGAACCCUAAUAGAGAAACUGCCAGGAGCCAAGUGUGGCUACUAGGAAAACCAUAUCUCCAUGAGUGGCUCACAUCACACUGUUCCUGGAUCGUGCUGUGCCUGCCCCAUACAAUCAGGAGGACCACGGUCUGCGCUCUGAGGAGCUCCCACCCUGUGCCCGCAUACCUCUGUGCCCCUGCCAACACAGCCCCUCUGCAGGAGGCCCUCUCCCCCUGCACUGUCGCCUGCCUGGUGCGCUCGCUCUCAUCCUUGGUCAGCCCCUGUGUGCAACCAGCAGCAGCCUUCCUGGACUGAAGGCUCCCUCCUCGGCACUGUCUAAGCACUUGGUUUACGCCCCUCCUGCAGCAGUGACCAGGGGCCAGGAACCAGCGGGGGCUCUUAUGUCCCCACUGUGCUGUGCGCUCCCAGGGAAUGGCAACUGUUGUCUUGCUAGUAAAAAUAUUCCCCUGGGUUGGCAUGG